CUUUUGCACGUCUCUUCUUUCCACUUGUGUGGGACAGGUUCUCUGGAAGUGGGAGCCAGAGGCUUCUAGUGAGAGUGGGACCGAAGGAUGGGGAGUGCGUGCGCGCAGUUACCGGGGGGCAUUUGUUCGAACUCCGGCUUUGGCACUAGUGGGGAGUUGGCUCUCGACAGAGGUUUCCAGGCUCCUCAUUGGUGGACGUGGAAGGGAGACUCCACAGUUUGGGAGCUGAGGACUAGCCCGCGGAAAUGUGCGCAAAGUUUGCUGUUAGUGAGGAAUUGAUUGUGGCCUGUGAACACGGAGACUCCAAGUCCUAUGUAUACGAGGGAAGCUGCCCACAAACUGACAGGGAGAGGAAGUUCUUCAGUUUAUGCGUUGCUUGGGAACUGUGUCUCCGCGGCUGGCCAGCGCGCGAUGUUUCCCGGGUAUUGUUGAGUAAGGGUGGUGUUGGUAGCGUGUCCUGUUACUAAGUUGCCUGAAAUUUCUGGUUUUGACAUAUGCUGUCCUUGGGUUUGCGAAUGUAUCAGAGCGAGAAUAUGAAUAUGUAAAGAGUACAGUUAUGAAACUGUGGAGCUACCAGGGGGUUAAUAUCCAACACAGGAAUAUCUCUAAGGGCUGUGGGGU
rnacentral:lncRNA from 1 species